rnacentral:rRNA from 1 species
UACGUAGGGGGCGAGCGUUGUCCGGAUUUAUUGGGCGUAAAGAGCGUGUAGGCGGCCAGGUAGGUCUGCUGUGAAAACUCGAGGCUCAACCUCGAGACGUCGGCGGAAACCAUCUGGCUAGAGUCCGGAAGAGGAGAGUGGAAUUCCUGGUGUAGCGGUGAAAUGCGCAGAUAUCAGGAAGAACACCUAUGGCGAAGGCGGCACUCUGGGACGGUACUGACGCUGAGACGCGAAAGCGUGGGGAGCGAACAGG